rnacentral:rRNA from 1 species
AUUGAACGCUGGCGGCAUGCCUAACACAUGCAAGUCGAACGGGGCAGCAAUGCCUAGUGGCGGACGGGUGAGGAAUACGUAGGAAUCUGCCCUUAAGUGGGGGAUAACCAGGGGAAACCCUGACUAAUACCGCAUGAUCUCUUCGGAGCAAAGAGGGGGACCGCAAGGCCUCUCGCUUCUGGAUGAGCCUACGUCUGAUUAGCUAGUUGGUAGGGUAAAGGCCUACCAAGGCGACGAUCAGUAACUGGUCUGAGAGGAUGAUCAGUCACACCGGAACUGAGACACGGUCCGGACUCCUACGGGAGGCAGCAGUGGGGAAUAUUGGACAAGGGGCGCAAGCCUGAUCCAGCAAUGCCGCGUGUGUGAAGAAGGCCUUCGGAUUGUAAAGCACUUUAGCCUGGAAAGAAAAAACUUUGGUUAACACCCAAAGUCUUGACGGUACCAGGAGAAUAAGCACCGGCUAACUCUGUGCCAGCCGCCGCAGUAACAC